CUCCAACGUAGUAUCAAGUAUCGAAGGUUAAAAAAUACUGACAUACUGAUACACUGCUUAUAAGUAUCUAUAUAUAAUAAACUGACAGAUUGCACAAUGGUAUGAGACUGUCAUGCAUGUUGUGCAGGUAUUUGCCAUGCACGUUCACGUGAAACGAAAGUGGUAUGUAGUAAGCUAUAUUUAUAUAUAUAUAAUGGUGCGUUUUUUAUUGAAUCACCAUCCUGCUCGGAAAUAUUGAUUCAUAAAAAUCAAACGGACUAUACGCUUCAUAAAAUUCAGUGUUAUAUUUGAUUUGGCCAGUUUUUUUAAUUUUUUGUUUGGGAUGGGGGGGGGGGGGGGGGCAAUAAUAUUAAAUAUACAAUUUAUCAGAGAUACAUUAUUCGUACAUUGUAAAAAUAUAUAUAAUUGAUUUGGUUAUGCGCUAUUCGUAUAUUCAUUGUUAGAAAACGUAAAACUUAUUCAGUACGAACUUAGGAAUCAAGGAGAAAGGCAAGGUCUCGCCUGUUUUUGUCCUAUUCCGAAGCGAGUCUUUAUUUUUGUGAUACUAGUAAUUGCAUAGGUUACAUGAUAAAUCGUCAUGAACUAAGACAAUAUAUAUUUAAUUUUAAACAGAUUUUGAUAGAAUUUGGCUUCUAUUUUGAGAUAUGAGCACAACAAAUAUUAUAUAUCAUGCGUGAAAAGUUUAUUUUUCGGUCUCGGAACUUGUAGUUUAUAAGUUUAGUAUUAAAUUUCGGAGACCGUAAAAAGGAAUUUAAAUUUUCAGCCAGGGAUGGAGGUAAAACGGUGAACAUUAUUUUUUGUCAAGUUACAAAUCGCGUCGAGCGGAACAAUACGAAUGUUUCAGUAUAGUUUAAAAUUAUUAAUAAUCGAAUAAUUUUUCUUCGCUUGCCAAAUGUUACGUCCAGUACACUCCCCCUUUUUCCUCUUAUUUUGUCACCAGCGAAGACAAGAUAUAUCAGUCUGAUAUGGCCUUUGGAUUUAAUAUUCAAUACUCUGGAUUCGUUUAUUUUCGUGGGUACAAAUUUUCGUGAAUUUAUAAAGUCUUGCAUGUUCGUGGAUAUUCGAAUUCGAGGCUUUGCCAAUGACUACAUACAGUUAGAAACUUUGAAUUUCGUUGAACAUUUGAAUUCAAAGGCGGAUUAGGGGGGCAGGGGGCGCCGCCCCCCCCCCUUUUUGGGAAAAAAUUUGGUUGCCUAUAUAGGGAAUCACUGAAGCGUGACUGGAGCGGGCCCACUGACUGACCUAAGAGGGGGCCCGCUCCAGUCACGCUUCAGUGAUUCCCUAUAUAAGCAACCAAAUUUUUUCCCAAAAAGGGGGGGCCGGGCCCCCUGCCCCCCUAAAUCCGCCUUUGAAUUCAAAUGUUCAACGAAAUUCACUUAUGAAAAUUUCUGGAUCCGCCACUGGAAUUCGUGGUUGCAUGACUGCAUGUACACACAAAACUCACGAAAAUUGGUAUCCAACGAAUUAUAAUGAAUCAACAUUAGUUAAGUUUAAGGAGUUAAGAUUGUAUUCUUAUUAUCCAUUCAUUUACAUCUUCAAACAAAAUUAUUAUAAAUAAAAAAAUGUUUACAGCGUAUAUUCAUGAUACAUACAGUAAACAAACUAUUGGAAAGUCAAUCACAGAAUGUUUGCACUGAAAUGAAGUUGCAUGACCAUCAGAUCUAUGUUAUUAGAAUUUUAGGAACUAGGUAAAUAAAUAGUAAGUUAGUGAAUGGAUUGACCAUGAGAGGUCAUGUGUACGUUCGAUUGAUCUCUAAACAACAUAAUUUGAAUAUGAAUUAAACUAAAGAGUCCCACUGGUCAAGGAACCGGUUAGUGACAAUAAAAAUGUUGUUGUGGUCAUAACUUUAUACCUCCCUCUGUGUUGACUUUGAUUGUGAAAUUCAAACUUUAUGUAAGUACUAAAGAUCGAGACCUUUUGAUAUAAAAUUCCAUGUUUUGACCAUGGAAGUAUUAUAUUGUCAAUAUUGUAGUACCAUGGUUUGACAAACACAAGUGGACAAACAAUUAAUUGUUUGUCUGUCAAACCAUGGAAGUACCAGUCAAUAUAUUUAUUGCAAAAUACUGUCCGAGCUUUUGCGAAUUCGAAGUACAGAUGCAUUACAAAUAAAAUACCAAGAAUAUAUGUGGUUUGAAAACUAAUGAAGUUAGCAAUGAAUUUGAUUUUUUCCCGUCGAUUUUUUUUUUUUUUUUUUUUUAUAUAUAUAUUAUAACCGCAAGAACGUCCAAUCAAAAUCCAAAGUUUAUGUCUCCUUACAGUGCCCCACAACUGAUUGAUGUAAACACAACAAUUUCUAGGUCAGUUGAAUAGUUCAAGCGACGCUGUUGUUUGUAAACAAGAAAAAUUGUCACAAGACGUAGAUCACACACACUUUUUUACAGGAAAGAUCAAAAGUUCAAUGCUAAAAUGCAUUCUUAUGCCUUUUCCUUUAGCCAACUGACUCAUGUAGUCGAAUUAACUGAAGUGCAAGUUGUUGAAACUCUUGUCUUUUACGUAAUCAGUUCUGGAUUACUUCAUCACGGACAGAUAUUUGGCAGCUAGCUGCAUCACUAUGAUAUAAUUAACCAAAAUGUAAUUUGUACAUUAUCUGGGUGUUUGUACGAAAGAUAUGCAAUUUACAUAUAUACAUGCAUAUAAGUGAUACCUGGAAAUAAUCGAGUUCUUAAUUCUCUAUGUAUUCGAAAAUUGCAUAAAUCUGUAGAAUUGUGUUUUGUUAGUUUCUCUUUGACUUAUGCGCUUUGAAUGACUCCUUGGUAUCGUUUUUUUAAAGAUAAUAUAAAACCAACAACAGAUUUAUUGUGCGUUCACUAUAUAUAUAUAUAUAUAUAUAUAUAUAUAUAUAUAUAUAUAUAUAUAUAUAUAUAUAGACACUGUUUUAUUUUAAUUACAUAGCGCUAGUGUUUGGUUUGUUAAAUUAUUCGCAUUAAAAUUGUACAUUUUGAAUUAAGUUUCGUCAAUGUGCAAGUAGAUCUUUAGCAAAUAAAAUUAUAUUUAUUUAUUUAUGAAAUGCACAUGUAUACCCCUAGGGGUUGAAGGCAUAUACAAACAAUACAAUACAAUAUACUCAAUGGAAAAAUUAACAUAUUAAACAUCAUAUAUAAAGUGGUAAAUCGUAUUUUGAAAAAUGAAAAUAUGUAGAUUUUUUCAAUCCCAUAUGUCAUGUGAUUAAAAUAAUAAUGUUGUUAUUGAUGAUGCAUAACCCCAUCAUAAGUUAUUUUUCUAAUUAUGACAAUUUUAGAGACAUGCUUGACCUAUAUUCUUUUUUUUAAAUUCUAUCUCACAUUUUAUUUUGUUUUCAUUCCUAAUUUGUUUUCGUUUGACUUUUAUACGCAGGUUAAUUGGAUAUCGUAAAUUAUAGAAUAAUUUUAAGAUAAUAAAAAAGUGAUAAACUGCGCAUAUAUAUAACCAAGUAAAUAAGAAUAAUAAUUCUUUUAUUGUCAUAUAAGUAAAAUUAUUAUACUUGUGACAUGAACAAAAAAACAAAACUGAGUUGAACACACACAUUUCUUAUAUGUUACCAGCAUACGGACUUCACUUAACUUUUUCUUAUAUAUAUACAAGCAAAAAUAAUUAAAGAGUCCCCUGUCUUCCGCUCUAAAUACUGAAUUAUAAAGGAACCUGUUUUUUUUUUUACUUGGUUUACAUUUGAAGGAUUUAUUUAACAAAAAUAUAUCAAAACAAACAAAAAAAUAAGAGUGUAAGGGGAGUAAUCGUGAUUUUAAAUAUGUAUUCGAUAAUUUCUUCCUGUAAGUUUCAUAGUUGCAUCCCUUUGCCGAAGUUAAAAAAAUUGUCCAAAAGUAGUGUUUCUGCUAUGAUGAAAUUGUUUUAAGAAUCUUUUUUUUUCAUUUUUUCCAAAAGUGGGAGCCUAUUUUUCCAAAAUAAAUUGACGGUACUAUUUUUUGUUACCCAUUUAACCUCGCAAAUGUGUUGCAGUUGUGCACCUGCUAUACACCUGAGUACUCCCCAACCCUAACACCCAUUUUUCCAAUCUUAGGAACUUUUUAAUUUCUUAUAUAAAUGUUAUGAAAAAAAAGAUGUAUCUAUAUAAUAAGGGCACGAAUGAUCAAGCUCCAAGUUACUAAUAAUAUGCGAAAAAUACUUUUUUCCAGAGCAUUUGAUGUCACUGAUAGUUUUUUAAAGAGUUCUAUUGUUCUAACCUUCAAGUAUUUUUGCGCUGUGUGUUCUUUUCUUCAUAUUGUCACUGUUUAUGAGAUUUGAUUCUUAGUAUUCAUUCGGCAAUCCUCGGUAGAAUCCGCUACUCUCCUUCUCCGUUAGAUGAGGGUACGGAAUCGGCCGAGUUGAGACGAAUGUCUUAGUAUUGUGUACUUGAGUUUCAAUAAAGUCAGCUGUUUUGUUUUGACAUGAGAUAUAGAUAAAUAAAAAUACUGAUUGCCAAUGAGACAACUGCACCAAAGGUUGUACGCAAUUAAAGGCAGCUGCACGGCCUUAAACAAUGAGAAAAAAACCCAUACCGUAUGGUUCUCAUAUUUGUUCAAUUCCUGGAAAUAGAUGUUGAACAAAUCGAUAUACUAAGGUUUUUCUACCAGAGGCAUAGCUUGCUUUUUUUGACAGACUUUUUUUAAUUUGAAGUGGGCUGCCGACUGUUUCGAUUCAAACGACACUGAUGAGUCUGUCGUAGACGACACGCGCAUCAGGCGUACACAAUGUUAAGCAUAGUUUGUGUGUUUUAUGAGUUUAAUUUUUGAUUUUCACGAUUUUCAAGAUUUUAUUCAUAACCUCAAACACAUACUUGUGUACAAGAGGACAAUAUAUACAAACAUACUAAGAUAAUACAUAGCGAGACAGGACAAACGAAACACAAAUACAUAGUAUAUUAUAAAAGACAAUUGGUAUAAUUAGAUUAAGUAUUUUAUGAUUUUCUUCACGAAAAUUGAUAAUUUCCUUUGAACUUGUACGUUACAUAUAGACAACAAGCCAGUAAAUUUGUUGUUGCUUGGAUUCAUUAUAUAGUAAUUUGGUAUAAACUUUGAUCUAAGAGCAGAAAUAUCAGCAUUUUUACAGGUAUAAAACAAUAUAGGAAACUCAUCCCCUAUUCCCUCAUUACAUAAUGUACAUAUUCUAUUUUCCCUCGCGAUCCCCGCCCAUCUACCCGUCUCAAUAGGUCACUUCAAAUUCGAGCAUUGAAGUUUAGACAUGUAAUAUCUGUCCUUGGGUAAUAAUCGCAAUAGAUACGGUUCCAAACCAAACUCGAGUUUGAAUAAAGAAUAGAAUUCACCCCUAUAGAUGCAUUAUGUAUCUGUGAGAACCAAUGCUGAUAGUACUGAUCUGUUAAUCGCUGUUUAACCAUACUUUUUAACCAAUCAAUAUUUACAACUAAUUGAUCGUUCCAUAUAAAACUAAGACCUGUAUCAUCAAAUAUAGAUUUUACAUAUUGAAUCCAUUUAAAUUUGGUAGGAUUAGUUUCAUGUAGUUUAAUCAUAAGUCUUAGAAGGAUAUUUGACAGUUUGCUCUCUGUUUUAAUAGUUCUGCACCAAAAUGAUGCAAUCCUAAGUUUUAUAGAGAUAUCUAACGGAACCCGACCUAAUUCCCCGUAAACCAUAAAAUUUGGUGUACUAUUCCGAACACCAAGAAUAUUUUUACUGCAUUUUCAUAAUAUUUUGUUUAUUUUCAAACUCCCAAACCUCUGAUGAAUAUAAGAUAAGAUAAGAUAAGAUAAAUUUUAUUUUCCAAAUUAGGUCCCCAGGGGGGCAUAUACACAUAACAUAUAUGAUUGAUACAACAUACAGUAUUUUACAUAACAUUGUAAAACAAACUAUUGAAAUAGUCAUACAGGUAUUAUUUGUUAAAUAAAAAAGUAUUUGAGAGUUGCUACUCCAGAGAUGUGGCAAACCCCAUUUAUUUAUUUACUUUUUUUUUCUCACUUGAUUUUAUAAUAUUUUGCUGAAAAUGUAUAAAUAUAAAAUAUAAAAUAAAUGAUUGUUUAGCUGCAACAGACACCAAGGGACGAUGCUCUAGGAUGGUGAUCUUAAAAGCUCUAACAAUCCUCCUCGUAUCUGAUGCAGAAAAACAAACACAAAUGAAAAAAGUUUAUGUAUAUUCACAGCAAAUAACAUAUACUGCAGUAAACAGGUAUUGAGAAUAGUGUAGGUUUCCCUACUGCAACAGACACCAAGGGGCGGUACUCAAGGAGCUGUGGUAUUUACACAGUCCUCCUCGUGUCUGAAGCAGACAAGAAAGCCACAAAAUUAACAAUUUUUCGAAAUAAAUUUACAUGCAGCAGUGAGAAUAGACUUAUCUUCUGUGUUCAUAAGCCAUAUCAGUUUAUCUCUUGCGUUAAGAGUUAAAAAGUUGGGGCAACUUUUAGUUAUCUCUUGAAAUAGAUGAUUGCGGUCAUCUUAAAUUUAACACAUUGGAAUAAAAAAUGAUAUUCAUCCUCCACAUCUCCGGAGUUACAACGAGUACAAGUUCUGUCAUUUAGGAGAGUACCCUGAUACCUUCCGGACUCAAUUCUUAAGUGGUGUGAUGAAAUUCUGAGCUUUGUUAAGCUUCGUCUGUGUUCAAAAUUCCCAAUAAUGGAAAGAUAUUUAAUAAUAUAGGUGCGAUUACAGCAUCGAAGAGUUGUAACUGAAUAUCAAUAGGCAAUGAUAUAUGUUUUAUCUUCCUGUAGAGAGCAAACAUUGCUUUUUGUGCUUGAUCAAAAAUCCUUUUUCUAGCAGCACAAAAAUUACCGUUAUAAUUAAAAGUUAUUCCUAAAUAAUUGUAAGAAUCUACAACUUCUGUAGCAUUACCAUAUACAUGAAAAUCAAAGUGGUCUCGUACCUUUUUUUUUUACUAAACACUAUAAUUUUUGUUUUAUCUAUAUUAACUUGGAGUUUCCAUAUGUUACAAUAUUGUUCAAAAACAUCGAGUGCAUGUUGUAGUUCUUCCUUACUUUCAGACAUAAUAACAGUGUCAUCUGCGUACAAAAUUACAAAGAUUUUAACUAAUACUUGUAACAAUUCUUCACAAUUUUUAGAAAUAUAUUCUGAAUCUUUUACAUCAUUUUCCACAAAAAAGUUCUCUAAAUCAUUCAAAAACACCGAAAACAAAAACGGUGAUAAAUGUUCACCCUGCUUUACACCAACAGCACAGUUGAAGAAAGUUGAACUUUGGUUACCAUAUCGAACACAUGUCUUUAUAUUUUGAUACAUAUUAUAAAUAACUGUAAAUAUUUUCCCAGUAAUGUGAGAUUUUUGUAACUUUUGCCAUAACCCUGUUCUCCAAACAGUGUCAAAUGCUCUCUUAAAAUCCACAAAUGUGCAAAAUAAUUUUUUGCCCAUCGAAAAAAAUAUAGAUAAAAUUGAAUGCAGCACAAAAAUAUUAUCGGUAGUUAAAAAUCCUUUUCUAAAUCCAGCCUGAGAUUAUGAUAUAAGUUCAACUUCAUCUGAGAAACUAUUUAAACUCUCAUUUAUUAUUGAUGAAAAAGUCAUUCCUAAACAAGAGUUUAACGUUACACCUCUAUAAUUUGCAGGGUCUGCUUUGGAACCUUUAUUCUUAAAAAAUAGGAAUCAUAAUACCAAGAGACCAUAACUUGAAGAGUUAACGUUUUUACAUUUUUUUUUUCGAAUUUCACACUUCUCCUUCCCGAAGUACAUAUAUUUUGUCUGAAACAUAUCAAACCUGCCUUCAGGUGCAGGUUCUUUGAAUUAUCUGCUUGACUAAAACCAUCAUGCACAGAAAUGCUGAUUUAUUUUUGAUACUAAGAAUUUAUAAUUGACUGUUUGGAUGUUUUAAGAUCUUGUAUUACUUGCAGCAUAAUUGAAGCGUCUGUACAUGCAAAGAAGAAGCAAAAGAUGAAUGUACCCGUCAGAGAAUCUCCUCGUUCCGGUCCGUGUUUAUGGGAUACAGAGUCGGACGAGCUGUGUUAUGAUGCACAAAGUUUGCUGAAGCACGAAUGGGGAGCUACAUGUACAUCAUGUCAUAUUAAACAUACUAAAUUUUGCAGAAACAUUUGGGAGG
rnacentral:lncRNA from 1 species